rnacentral:tRNA from 1 species
UCCUGUGUUGCGCAGUUGGCAGAGCAUGGCACUUGCAAUGCCAAGGUUGUGGGUUGGAUUCCCAUGUGGGAC